UCGAGCAACAAGCCACCGAACGCACACAGUCGAGAGUCGUGUACAUGGCUGCGCAGAGUGGGCAGAGUGCUAGCACACGUACGUGAUUUUCGCUUGUGUGUGCAUCCGAUUGAUCGUUGCUCGGAUCUUCAAUCUGGCAGCUCAGAGUACUAUAUCUAUGAUUAAUGUAGUACAUGUCUCGUGCUAAAUAACCACAAGAAAACCAAAGAAAACUUUUUCGAGGAAUAAUUAUUCAAUAGUAAAAAUAGGAAAACACAGAGACAUUUAAGUGACAUUCAAGUAGCAGCAAUUUUACACAUGGAUUCUGAACAAAUAAAUGAUCUCACCCAAAAUUAUACAUAUGAAUAUACUGAAGAAGAUACCGAUACUGUUUUAAUAGAUCUUGAAAAUUUUCCUCAUCUUUAUGAUAAAAGUAUAGCUGAUUUCAAAAAUAUACACAAAAAAGAUCGUGCAUGGAUGAAGAUUUCUUCCAUUUUAAAAUUAUCAGUCCCAGAUUGUCAAAGCAAAUGGCAAAGACUUCGAGAAAAAUUUUCUCGUGAAAAGAAAAAAGAGAAUUAGAAACCAAAAGUGACAAUAAGGCAUGCACAAGGUCAACAUUUAUAUUAUAUGA